rnacentral:lncRNA from 1 species
UAGAAACAAUAAUAAACGAAAGAGAUGUAUAAGGUAAUGAGCAGAUAUACCGAAUACAGUAGCAAUAAACUGAAAAAAAGUAAGAACUAGACUGAAUAACGGCUACCGCUACUGUAACUGGAACAGAAAGCAUACAUGAAUAUCUACUAUAGUAGCAAGACAACUAUAAAGCAAGAACUGUAAGUAUGCAUGCAACGACUGCUAUUAUAGACAUAUGCGUCAACUGGAUGUAAAGACCAAAUAUACCCAAUCUGAAAUCUGCUGCUCUGUUGGUCCGUACAUGAACCUCAAGCCUGUGCCACUACUACUCUCCAAUGCAUAUAACCCCUCUAGGGCUCACGGGUUGACACCUGCAACCACUUUUUCGGAAAAGAACACUCCUUGCGGUGGAUCAGACCGCCAGUAUUCGUGAAAUGCGACGAGUAUCGGGCGGUCAAUGCUGAUAUGCUCAAAGGCCAAACGUCGGCAACCAGCCGACAAUCCUGCCCACAGGGCUCAUCGACCGUAUAGGUCAUCAACUGUAAGGAAGCACAAGAACUAACCACUCAGGUCAACUAGGAUGGGACAACAUCAACAUCCUCUCAAACAUAUGCAAAUACUGCUCAAUGAACCACAAGGACUGACCACUCAGAUCAACUAGGAUAUAUGCACAACGAAUCGACGAAUAAGUCAUCAGGGUGUAUCAAUAGAAUCCAGAACUACCGUCGGCCACUAGGCAACAAUCCAACCCCUUUAGGGUACAUCGAUUACAACGGUCAUCGAGCGACAGAAGUCAAGGAACCGAUCGCAUGUGUCACAAAUACGGGAUACAAGAACAGACCAACCAGGUCACUAAUACGAAGUACGAGAACCAACCAACCAGGUCACUGAUAUGAAGUACAAGAAUCGAUCAACCAGGUCAACAGAUACGCACAUAGAUAGAAACACUCUACUCCUACUCAGGAUACUAAGCAUGCAAACAACGAGUAGAGUAUAAUGGAAUAACAUGGGUGUAAGGCUCAAUAUAUACUAUGUAAUAUUAACAACCGAAGAGUAAGGAAAAGAAACCAUCACCGAGCGUGCACCACUGUACCGACGUCGGAUCGAAGUACCCACCUGAACGUGUCUGAUGAAAAUUUCUCGACUGUGAAGACAGUGCAACCGAACCUACGAGAGGUCCAACGGUUUAGGAUCUAACCCACUGACAUGUAACGCUAACUCACAACCCCCCUCAUAGCCCCAUAGAAUCGAUUUCCCAAAACCGAUUACCGAACAUGCCGGAAGUUCCGAAAACCGCACCGGAACUUCACCGUCGCUCACCCGUCGUUUUCGAACCCUCGAAACGACACGGGUGACCAGCCAACAAGGCUCAGCGAUGCUACAAUCAACCACGAGGCACCGUCGGAUGAAUUCUGAAUCGAAAACGCGUUCUAUCGGCGGAUUUCGCCGAAAAACGCUCCGGAAAUCACUUUUCGAUUUCCGCAAGGGCUUGGGGCCUUGGACGAUCAGUCCAGAGGUUAUCCUCCGCCCAAACAGGCUGCCAACAGCAGCUACAUCGAAGCAAAAAUCCUAAAAGCCCUUACUAUAGCAUGCAAUCUCAUUAUUUUAUGCGAUUUACCCAAUUUUAUGGCUCGUUAGCGCAACCUAGGGUUUAUUCGGCCAGGGCGAGACACUCGCUGUUAGGUCUCGGCGUGCCGGAGGCCGUGCUCACCUUUCGGAGAACGGCCGACCACUGCGGUGCGCGCACGAGCGACGCGAAGAUCUGUGAAACAGUGCGCACAGCGCUAAGAUAGCGACUAACUCGCUAACCAGGGCAUCUCUGCCGCUGUCGGAGGUGAGCACGAUGUUCAGCACGAACCCUAGAUCAUCGUGCUCACUUCCCGCGGUGGCGGGGAGUCAUCGAAUAACCGGAAAGGUGGCCGGAAAGCUAAACUUCUAUGCUGGAAUAUAAAAAUAGCUUUACCGGACCCGAGGAGACCUAGGGUUGGUCGCCGGCGGCCGGGAGGCGGGCACUCCGGCCGGGGAUGGGAGCGGCCGGUCAGUGGGGUCCGGGGAACCAGAUGGCCGGAGUCUGGAGGCGGCCGGUGGCGCGGCGGAGGAGAUCGACUCCUCAAAGCUGUUCUCGGGUUCAAGCUUCCCGGCGGCGCGGUGGCGGCCGGAGGAGAUCGGGGCGGCUACGGUACGGCGGCGGAGGCUGAGGGGAAGGUGGUGCACCCCCCGGUAGGCGGCGGCGGCGCUUGGAAGCAGAGCAGACUCGGCCUCAGCCCGCACGGUUCUAGGCGGCCGCAAGAUGGAGGAGCGGCGACCGGCGGCGCGCGGGGACGGCGGGGGACGCGCGCGCGGGGUUGCCGGAGGUCGCUGGGGCCGACAGGAGGGCGGCGAGGCCAAAGGAAGGCAACGGCGGCACGCGGAUACCGAGAUCACCCAGGCUCGGUCUUGGUGACUGCAGGUGGACGCAGCUUGCACAGGGGCUCCGGCGGCGCGCAGGGACGGCGGGGGCCGGCGCCGGAGAUGGGCCUCGGCCAAAGGAUGAUGGAGCUCGGGCCCGGAUGCUCCCCCGGGCCCAACAACCAAGGAUGUGGCAAGUCGGAGCUAGAGGGAAACCGAGAAGAAGCCGGGGUGACUUUUCCGGCGGCCGGAGCAGCUCGCCGGCGGCCGGGGCAUGAGCACUGGUUGGGCAGGGUGGAGGUGGGGCGGCUAGGGCAGCUAGGGAUGAUAAUUAGGGUUAGGGUUCCCUGGUUGAACCCUAGAACCCUAUUUAUUCUAUGUGUACAAUUACGGAAAACCCCUCAUAGUUCAGUAAUUCUUACCAAGCCCCCUGCCUGCAUGUGGAUUAUUCGUAUAGGUCCCUCAACGUUCGAAUUCGCGCAAGACCGCACAUAAAAUAUUGGACCUUUUCGCGAAUAAUCGAUUUUGCCAACUUGACCUCUCAGCGGACUUUUCAAGAUUCCCGAAGAUCCGUCCGUCGGAUUUCCGAACGGAUUGCGCCAGCGCUUUCAGUACGACUGGGGCAUCGAAUCUAGCAUUUUAUUUCAUCGAAUUUGGUCUUCGAUCAGCGACGAAACAUGCCCUCUUCGUUUUCACCAUAUAACCACUUAUGUUAAUACAUGUAAUUUCCAUUAAACCCCUUUUUCUCGACAACCGUGCCUCAGAACCCAAUUCCGUCAGUGCCAUUGGUUCCAGAAUAGCUGAACCGAUUGAAACGAGCUAUUGGAUCACUAUGAACGGAGUCCGAUACGCGCCGAAAGCCAACUCUACUCCGUGGCUUCACCGAAAAACCAGGUUACUAUUCACUUUAAGUGAAAACUAAUAAUCGCGUAACUUCUCCAUUCGAACUCGGUUUCUCCUGAAACUUGACGAGUGCUUUUGUAAUUAAAUUACACACCUAAACAUCGUCAACAGGGAGUUUAGUUGCACUGUCAAAAUUUCAGUCCUUACAUUAUCCCCCCCUUAAAAGAAGUUUCGUCCCGAAACUUGACCACGUACCCAUUGAAAUAGAAUUCAGAAAUUACUUCCACCACUGUGGUAUCACCUUUGAGUAUUGGUCAAUUACAUUUUCAUGAAUUUGGACAGAUCAAUCUCCGAAUAAGGGAAGAAUAGGACUGCGGUUCUACUCGAACCACACGAGAGAGAGCGUACCAACCCAAAAUCUACGAACCAAGACUUACCAGGAUCAAUAUCAUCCUAUAUCCUGUGGACAAAAACAGUCCCGCGACCAGGAUUAUUCGAUUCCAACUUGCCAAUUCUGAGAUAGUAAUUCAACACUCCGAAGCUCUAGAUCCACUCUACCUUGGUCCGUGUAGCCGUAACCGACUCGACUACGUUGCUAGUUCACGUAGAAGAGACACGAGUCAACACCACAAGUUUGGAGUCUAUUCACGUAGACUGAAACAAAAUACUCCUGACUAACCAACAACAUCAACCUGCUCAUCACGAGCAAAAAAGAAACGUAGCUCUAAGACCUUAGUCAAAACUCUUACCUUGGAGACCACAGUUUCCUACCAGUAACCACACAACUGCCAAAACCUCCAAUAACGGAAAGUCUCCUACGACAAUCUAUAGUCCUAGGUCCAAGAUCUCACUUUCCACCUGUCCACAAGAUCUAAGGCUGACAAUACUAAUUGAGCUCGACAAUUUUGUCCCCUCAAACUUAGUCCGGUACCAACAGACCACCAAAUGCCCUUUGCAAGUCCAUCAUUUGAUGCACAGGUCGCAAAUCGCAAAUGCGAUACUAACCAUCGGUGAUGCUCAACACCUGUCUCUACGAGACCCUGUCGCUGCCGUCCUACAAGGGACCCUAGCGAUCGAUGUUCCCAGCAACACGCGAUUACUUGUAUCAUUGAGACUCCAGCGCACCUGUCAUCAAUUAACCGGACAAGCAAGCUAACCCAAGGUUUACACGAUAAGCCAAGUCGCAAACAUUUCAUGCUAUCACAUACGGUGAUGAUCAAAGCCAACAACCAGGCUCAAGUCGCUCAACCACUGAUUCUAAACCUCACGACAACAGACCGAGACUACUAAAUAACCAAACCUUUUAGUUGUGGAAGGCACAACUAAAGAAUUAAGAACACUCAGACUCGAACCAACGUCAGAACCAUCAGCAGUGACGAUAAGUCAACUGCACAAAACCUACCAGGGAAUAAUCCAAGGCUCGCUACAUGGUCAAAGAUGAUCAUCACUUAAGCUUUCUCCUAAGACAAGCUAGAGCGAAUACUGACCCAAUCCAAAAUGUCCUAAACAGGGAAAAGGGUAUUUCGUCCUAACUUUCGACAGUACAUUGUCUGCAGCCAAGGUACUUAUCAAAAGAAAAGCGAAAUAUCCGAAGAUUCGCUACCAACAACGAGUUGGAAGUGUGACACGUCAAAGUAUCAAGCCACCUGAUACCUCUUCACUGAACCAAGAGUUCACAACCCUUGCAUCGACUUUAUAAGUCGACAUUCGAAAUCAGAACGACCCUGAACCGACUCUCAGGGAGUCCUAUAACUUUCAACAUCCAAAAGCUACUAACGACACUAAGCCGCGCACCGUACUAACUGAGGCUUUAGAAAACGGUUUCUCUAAUCGAUUUUCGCACCUCAACCGAGUUAUAAUCAAAGCUCCGAGAAUUCCGACAAUAACCUGGAGUCUCUCGAAUCAAGACGGAUCCUACUAAACCAUCUACUAUCUCCUGACACUAAUUUAGGUGUUAGAACAAUCGCAUACGAUGUAUGUAUCAACAGGGACCUGACACCAAAACUGUGUCAAUCCGACUCGGGNUUAGAAAACUGGAAAUGGAGCAAGUAAGAAGGAUGGGCUCAGCCUAACUGUGUCAAAACCACAGUCCAGGGACAACUAUGUAUGUAGCAUACGCUAACAAGAUUGUGGAUUUAAUCACAGUCCUCUAUCAUCUACCAAAUCAUCCUAGCGAACCGCUGAUUCGAAUCAGCAAUCAAAAAGGAUAGGUAGGCAUCACAACCCCACCCUAAGAUCUGCGGAAGCAACACUAACAAUGCAAUCGCCGAAACGACCGCUAUCCAAACCUUGGGCUAUGCCCUAGUAGCCCCACUGAAGUCACGAUCGUAACUGAUCACAGUGCCGUCUCCGUAGAGACACUCGCAACAGCUCUCGUAUCCAAAGUAGAGAGAGUGGCCUAGGCGUCGACAAUUAUGACACUUGCCUAGGCCCGAAAAUUUCACUUGGCCCUUCAAGGCCCCACCUGACAGGAGUGGCAACACCUGGGGGACGUCGCCCCACUACUCUCGACUUAGACACCAGCUUGUGCGAACCGUAACACAUACAGAAAUACCAUGCACUUCAAGUUUACCAAACUCGAAUGCACACCGGGACACAAGCCCAAACCCCUCACUCACGUGCCUAUACACCGUAGGUCUUCCUAUGGGUCAACCUAACUAAUGGUUCAGUUUCAUUUAUUUUUCAAAACAACCUGUGAAUGGUGUUAUGGUUGUAACCUGACUCUGAUACCACUUUAAUCUAUCACGCCCCGGAGUCCUUUUUUGUUUGAACACAGCGGAAAAAGCGUCUAAAAUUUUUUUUUGAAAACCUUACCCCAGAGUAUGCCAGAUCCGCCACAAAUACAGGAAUUCCACUGUUCACACGAACAGAGUCUCCCCUGUAUUUGCACGGCGUCGCACAAGUACAACAGUACAAACAGAAUACAACCACCUAAAUGAAUAUAGAAAUAAUUAUUCAUUCAUACAUUCAUACAUUCACCAUUCAUAUCACAGAUUUGUAUUUAAUAUUUAAACAUAAAUCCACAGAAAAUUCUUUUGAAAACUGUUUCCUACACGGAAACCUUUAUUCUUUAAAAACGCUACCACGAGGGGUAGAAAACCUUUCCAUUUCACAAAAUCCACAAAUCCAUUUAGUAUAUUCAUGAAAACCCAUAUUUUCAAAUGUAAUAAAAUAUAUUGAACCAUAUAAACUAUCUAAGCUAUAUCAAUAUAAUAGUAAGGGUAGAACUAAACCGAAUAACCUGGGUCGGAAGCUCUAUCGACCGCUACGUAUCUCACGUCUCGUCUCAACCCUCACCGCCCGCGAUACCUGAAAAAUAGUGGGGGAGAUGAGAACAUGUAAAUAUGUCUCCCCUCCCAGUGGGUACCGCAAGCCGAAAAAGACGAGGAGUACUCACCGGAUCAUGAAGAGCUAUACAACAACACCGGUCAGUGGAAAUACAGUAGAAAUAAUAAUAAACGAAAGAGAUGUAUAAGGUAAUGAGCAGAUAUUCCGAAUAAAGUAGCAAUAAACUGAAAGAAAGUAAGAACUAGACUGAAUAACGGCUACCGCUACUGUAACUGGAACAGAAAGCAUACAUGAAUAUCUACUAUAGUAGCAAGACAACUAUAAAGCAAGAACUGUAAGUAUGCAUGCAACGACUGCUACUAUAGACAUAUGCGUGAACUGGAUGUAAAGACCAAAUAUACCCAAUCUGAAAUCUGCUGCUCUGUUGGUCUGCACCUGAACCUCAAGCCUGUGCCACUACUACUCUCCAAUGCAUAUAACCCCUCUAGGGCUCACGGGUUGACACCUGCAACCACUUUUUCGGAAAAGAACACUCCUUGCGGUGGAUCAGACCGCCAGUAUUCGUGAAAUGCGACGAGUAUCGGGCGGUCAAUGCUGAUAUGCUCAAAGGCCAAACGUCGGCAACCAGCCGACAAUCCUGCCCACAGGGCUCAUCGACCGUAUAGGUCAUCAACUGUAAGGAAGCACAAGAACUAACCACUCAGGUCAACUAGGAUGGGACAACAUCAACAUCCUCUCAAACAUAUGCAAAUACUGCUCAAUGAACCACAAGGACUGACCACUCAGAUCAACUAGGAUAUAUGCACAACGAAUCGACGAAUAAGUCAUCAGGGUGUAUCAAUAGAAUCCAGAACUACCGUCGGCCACUAGGCAAC